AUUGAACGCCGGCGGCAGGCUUAACACAUGCAAGUCGAGCGAGCGGCGGACGGGUGAGUAAUGUCCGGGAAACUGCCUGAUGGAGGGGGAUAACUACUGGAAACGGUAGCUAAUACCGCAUACCAUCAGAUGUGCCCAGAUGGGAUUAGCUAGUAGGUGGGGUAAUGGCGCACCGAGGCGACGAUACCUAGCUGGUCUGGGAGGAUGAACAGCAAAACUGUAACUGAGACACGGUCCAGACUCCUACGGGAGGGAGCAGUGGGGAAUAGUGCACAAUGGGCGAAAGCCUGAAGCAGCCAGGCCGCGUGUGUGAAGAAGGCCUUCGGGUUGUAAAGCACUUUCAGCGAGGAGGCGUUUCUCGCAGAAGAAGCACCGGCUAACUCCGUGCCAGCAGCCGCGGUAAUAC
rnacentral:rRNA from 1 species